rnacentral:misc_RNA from 1 species
GCAAAGUCAAAAGAAAGUGUAAAGCAGUUGACACAGGAGAUUUCAUUGUUGAGCCGAUUAAGACAUCCAAAUAUUGUCCAGUAUUAUGGCUCAGAGAUGGUUCCUGAUAAACUAUAUAUCUACUUGGAAUAUGUAUCUGGUGGGUCCAUUUAUAAGCUUUUACAAGAAUAUGGUGCAUUUGGAGAAGCAGCGAUCCGUAGUUAUACUCAACAAAUCUUAUCAGGGCUUGCAUUUUUACAUGCUAAAAACACAGUGCAUAGAGAUAUUAAAGGAGCAAAUAUUCUUGUUGAUCCAAAUGGGCGCAUAAAGCUAGCAGACUUUGGAAUGGCAAAACAUAUCACAGGGCAG